rnacentral:rRNA from 1 species
AAACCAACUGGGAUUGCCUCUAGUAACGGCGAGUGAAGCGGCAAAAGCUCAAAUUUGAAAUCUGGUACCUUUGGUGCCCGAGUUGUAAUUUGGAGAGUACCACUUUGGGACUGUACUUUGCCUAUGUUCCUUGGAACAGGACGUCAUGGAGGGUGAGAAUCCCGUGUGGCGAGGGUGUCAGUUCUUUGUAAAGGGUGCUCGAAGAGUCGAGUUGUUUGGGAAUGCAGCUCUAAGUGGGUGGUAAAUUCCAUCUAAAGCUAAAUACAGGCGAGAGACCGAUAGCGAACAAGUACAGUGAUGGAAAGAUGAAAAGAACUUUGAAAAGAGAGUGAAAAAGUACGUGAAAUUGUUGAAAGGGAAGGGCAUUUGAUCAGACAUGGUGUUUUGCGCCCCUUGCCUCUCGUGGGCUUGGGACUCUCGCAGCUCACUGGGCCAGCAUCGGUUUUGGCGGCCGGAAAAAACCUAGGGAAUGUGGCUCUGCGCCUCGGUGUAGAGUGUUAUAGCCCUGGGGAUACGGCCACCGGGCCCGAGGACUGCGAUACUUGUUAUCUAGGAUGCUGGCAUAAUGGUUAUAUGCCGCCCGUCUUGAAAGCACGGACUCA